GACGGCGCCACCAUACUCGGUGGUCAGAGAGUUCAAAACUUCCCCCGUUGAACCCCCUUUUCACGUAGACAAGAUUUAGGACAUGAAAAACCAAAAACUAAACCCCAAACUUCUUAAAACCACAAAGAUUCUUCAACCUUUGGCUUCCUCCGUCGAAGUUUUAACCGGAUCUCUAGAGAUCCGCCGGCUUUCGGACUAGAGAAGCGUAUGCCCAGGGUACCAACGCCAAAUACGGGUCAUGGGAGUGUCAGAGGCGUGGAAGGCCGGUGAUUGGCGCCCCGAGCAGUGGUGGCGCGCGUGAGAAGGUUGGUGGCUGGAGGAAAUUGGGCCUGCUGUUUUUUCUUUUCUUCUUUUUUUGUAAAAUGGACUUUGUUUUGGGAAUUUUAUAUUUUGGAAUUAAUUUGAGUUUUUAUUUCUUGUUGGCCAGGCCAAAA